rnacentral:rRNA from 1 species
GCCAGCAGCCGCGGUAAUUCCAGCUCCAAUAGCGUAUAUUAAAGUUGUUGCGGUUAAAAAGCUCGUAGUCCGAGCUCAGUUCCGGACUGGCCGGGGAGGUCACCGCCCGGUGCCUUGCCUGGGCCAGGCUCCGAACCAAUGCUCCCGCUCUGCGGGAGCGACACGCCGGUGCUCGCCGGGGUGCUCUUGACCGAGUGUCCCGCGCGGCCGGCCAGUUCACCUUGAAUAAAUGAGAGUGCUCAAAGCAGGCUACUCUUGAAACCUAAAGCCCGAAUGUUACCUGCAUGGAAUGAUGGAAGAUGAUCUCGGUUCCAUUUUAUUGGGGGUGGGAAUCCGAGUUAAUGAUAAACAGGGACUGUCGGGGGCAUCCGUACUACGACGCGAGAGGUGAAAUUCAGUGACCGUCGUAGGACGAACGACAGCGAAAGCAUUUGCCAAGAAUGUCUUCGUUGAUCAAGAACGAAAGUUAGAGGAUCGAAG